AACCCAUUUCUCUCCCACUCCUUCUCUUUUCGCCCUCUUCUCUGUCGGUACCCCACAUUUUCCGGCGAAACACAAACCUAUUUCACCGUCGGAAUCGACAAUCUGGCGAUGACUAAGAAAUAGUGGUAAACCGGAUCCAGUUUUUCAACGACCUUUUAAUGAAGAUUCGACGACAUUACUCCGACACCAAGUUUUGCCGGCGGAUCGCGGUGUAUAGGUGGCCAGAUCAUUUUUCGGCAUGGCAUUCAAGUCAGGGACAAUAUCAACAAUGGGUAAAGGCGGAGUUAGCAAUAUUCCGGCGACCAAUUUCUCCACCAACUUGUCAGAAUCCAAUGAAAUGAUCAAGAAAACAUCCUCACUGCAUCAUCUCAUAAGAUUAGGUGCACUCAUUUUAUCUCUUCUAGUUUAUCUGAUCUAGGUUCCUGAUUAUUUGGAGGCAGAUACUCCCUGUUUAUUUGAUAUCUAUCUUCAGUCCUUUCUUUCUUGAUUUCUUGUUUGUUUAUCUUAACUGUUCGUGUGGGAUUAUUGGUUCUAGUUUCUCUUUUACUGAGUAAGAGUUAUUUAAAGACUACUAUAUCUAUUUAUUGUAGUACGUGUUGGUAUCUUUUGCUUGUGUUGGUAUUACUUUCUAAAGCUGAUAAGAGUUAUUGUGACUAGUAUAGCUCUUGUUAUUGAUUGUUGGUUGUCAAAUUUGCAUUAUAGUUUAUUGAUUUUGUGUCCCUGGGUAUAUGCGG
rnacentral:lncRNA from 1 species